rnacentral:lncRNA from 1 species
CGAUGGAGAAGGAGGAGGUCUACCACAAUGACGACAAAGAGGAGGAUAAGAAGUCAAAAGGGCAACCACAACAAAUACGACGACAACAACAAUGACAAAGGAGGAGGAAGAGAUGAAGAAGAAAAAAAAGAAAAAAAAAGGAGGAGGAAUAUGAAAAUCCAAUAUAUUUGCUAACAAAUAAAUAUUAACAACCAAAAUCCAACAAUAAUUGAUGAAAGAUAUUCACUUAUAAUUAUCAAUAAAUUCUUGUCAUUGGUAAUCAUUGACAAAUAAUUACUAACGAAUUUUGGUCAUUGGUAAUUCUUGACAAAUU